GGGCUCACCAUUUUAGUGGCCCAUGGAUCUGACUCCAGAUCAGAAGGCUGCGUGUUCGAAUCACGUCGGGCUCA
rfam:Schistosoma mattheei strain Denwood, Zambia genome assembly, scaffold: SMTD_scaffold0014500